rnacentral:rRNA from 1 species
ACGUGAUACAAUGGUUGCUACAACGCGACGCAAUGCCGUAAGGCGGAGCAAAUCGUUAUAAAAGCAACCUCAGUUCGGAUUGAGGUCUGCAACUCGACCUCAUGAAGUUGGAAUCGCUAGUAAUCGCAGGUCAGCUAUACUGCGGUGAGUACGUUCUCGAGUCUUGUACUCACCGCCCGUCAACUCAAGGGAGCCGGGAGUAGGUGAAACUCCGCUUCGGCGGGGCUAGCCUAAGCUCGGUGACAGGGAGUAAGUCGUAACAAGGCACGGCUAGCGGAAGCUGGUCGUGGAUUAUAAUUUUU